rnacentral:rRNA from 1 species
GUCUACAGCCAUGCCACCCUGAGCAAGCCCAAUCCCGUCUGAUCUCAUGAAGCUAAGCAGGGUCGGGCCUGGUUAGUACUUGGGUGGGAGACCACCUAGGAAGACCAGGUGCUGUAGGCG